rfam:Drosophila mojavensis strain TSC#15081-1352.22 Ctg01_10078, whole genome shotgun sequence.
UUAUAAAUAUGAUGAACAACCUAUUUUAACAGUUAUCCCUGUCAUAAAAAAACAAUUGAUGAUACGUUAAGCUGAAAUGG